rnacentral:rRNA from 1 species
CCCUUAGAUGUCCUGGGCUGCACGCGCGCUACACUGAUGUGUCCAGUAAGCACCUAACCUCUUCCGAAAGGAACGGGUAACCUUUGCAAAGCACAUCGUGAUGGGGAUAGAUUAUUGCAAUUAUUAGUCUUGAACGAGGAAUUCCUAGUAAGCACAAGUCAUCAGCUUGUGUUGAUUACGUCCCUGCCCUUUGUACACACCGCCCGUCGCUCCUACCGAUUGAAUGUUCCGAUGAGCUCUUCGGACUGCGCGGUCUGCAGUUUCUGCGUUCCGUGCGGAAAGUUGCGCAAACCUUAACAUUUAGAGGAAGGAGAAGUCGUAACA